CGGAGGAAAAGAAACCAACAGGGAUUGCCUCAGUAACGGCGAGUGAAGCGGCAAGAGCUCAACUUUGGAAUCGCUGCGGCGAGUUGUAGUCUGGAGGUGGCCGGUCCCGGCGCCAGCGCGCAGCCAAGUCCUUUGGAACAAGGCGCCUGAGAGGGUGACAGCCCCGUGGCAGUUUGUGCUGGUGCCGCCUCGGCCCACCGACGAGUCGAGUUGUUUGGGAAUGCAGCUCUAAGUGGGUGGUAAAUUCCAUCUAAAGCUAAAUACCGGCGAGAGACCGAUAGCGAACAAGUACAGUAAUGGAAAGAUGAAAAGCACUUUGAAAAGAGAGUGAAACAGUACGUGAAAUUGUUGAAAGGGAAGGGCUUGCACCCAGACACGGCCUUCUGGCCGGGCCAGCAUCGGGUGGGAGGGAGCGACAACGAGCAGUCGAUGUAGUACAGCCCUCUGGGCUGUGCAUUAUACGUCUUGCUUUCUGGCUCCUCUCCCGCCCGAGGACCGCAGCAAUAAGGAUGCUGGCGCAAUGGUUGCAAGCCACCCGUCUUGA
rnacentral:rRNA from 1 species